UACUCUCACAUCAUGUAAAAUCACCAUUCACGACAGCGUAUUAAGAUAAAACAACUGAUUGUAUUGAUCUUUUCAACAGGAUGAUUAUCGCACCAACAAUAAGCACGCUCUUAUUAUAGAGGGGUGCUGUUAUUGUCAUCGUUCAUAUGUAUUUUUUAUGUAUUACUACGCUGAGGAAUAAACCCCACAAAUUUCACCUAGGGCUGCUGGGGCUGUAUGACCCAAAUCAAAGUCACUAACGUAUUCAACUUGCUCUAACAGGUGAUAAUUGUCGAAUCGGCCCCCGAUGAACAACGAGUUGAAUAUGAACGACGUUGAAUAUUCACAAAUUUGCGAUGCCGGUGGGUCGUCGAACCUUGGAUAUGGUUCACCGGCCUAUGUUACCGGAUGGAUGUACGUCAAUCAAAAUAGUCAAAUGUGUGGUCCUUACAUUCAGCACCAGCUGUACGAGGGUUUAUACACUGGUUUUUUGCCGGAGGAGCUCCCUGUUUACCCCGUCCUGAACGGGAAUCUCCUCAAUCCUGUGCCCCUCAACUACUUUAAGCAAUUUCCUGACCAUGUUGCCACCGGCUUUGUUUACUUAAAUGUGCCUGCCCCUCGCGUAAAAGAGUCUAGAAAUGAUUGCCAUAGUUCCAAUGACCAGAAACUAAUCCCUGAGAAGAGCGAUAUAGAUAUAGAGUUCCCACUGUCAGGAGAUGAAUCUUGCUGGCUGUUUGAGGAUGAGGAGGGAAGAAAGCAUGGACCACACUCCCUGACUGAGCUUUACUCAUGGUGUCACUAUGGACAUAUCCGUGCUUCACUAUUGAUAUAUCAUGCUGAUAAUAAGUACAAACCCUUGGAUUUGGAGUCACUGUUAAACACUUGGAGAGCAGCUAGACAUGGAGCUGUAUUUGGGCAUGACAUGAAUGACCAACUCACUGGCUCAGCAUUUAACUUGAUAUCUGAGAUUUCUGAAGAAGUUUGUUUGCAGCUUCACUUUGGGAUCAUGAAAACAGCACGUAAAGUUGUACUUGAUGAGAUAGUUAGCUGCAUGAUUUCUGAUUCUCUUGCCACCAAGAAAAGUAACAAGAAUCAUAACAUUGAACCACUUAUUCACUCUGCCAAAUCCUGUUGUUCUUAUCGCAGAAUGUCUGAAGAAUGUCAAGUGAGGAAUGAACAUGUUGUUGUUGGGGAUGAAGUAGAAGUAUGUAAUACUGUUGAGGAAAGAUGUAGUAGUGAAACAAUGAGAUCUCCUCCCAGCAUGAAAUCAGUUGGAGGCUUUGAUAACUUUUGUGCUGCAUAUAUCGCUGUUAGCAGGACGCUCUUUGAUUCUUGUUUGCAAGUCAUGUGGAAUGCAAUCUUUUAUGAUCCUGUAACUGAGUAUACAUCCACGUGGAGAAACAUGAAACGGUGGCCUCCCCAUUGUUAUGUUGGUGAGCAAUGCAUUUCAUCCAAACAGUUCUCUGUGCAGAGAACAAAGCUACCAGCAUACCAUCUAAUAGAAGAACAAGACUCCUCCAGCGCUGAGGUGGAUUGCCCUCCUGGUUUUGAACCAGUGAGAACUGCAAUAGAUGUACAAUUGCAGUCGCCAUCAGUUUCUUCACCUUUUGAGAGACAAAAGUCUUCCAAAGGAAAUGUUUUGAGCUCUGAUACUAUUUAUGGUGACAUGGAGGUCAUCUUGGAAUAUAUACUGGAUAACCUUCAUUCAUCUUCAAAGUUGUCGUUGGUAGAUUACUUUAAGAGAUUUGUGGAUGAGGAAGUGAAGAAGGUGGUUGAUUUUCCAAAAAGUAGUCAUAAGAAAGAGGUAACUCUAUACUCCUCUCAUCUGCCCAACCAUACAGGUGGAUACAAUUCUGAGAAAAUCCCAACACUUCUAUUCUCAGAUGAUCGCCAACAUCCACCUCAAUUAGUAAAAAAUCGGUCAGAUCAGAGUGUAAUUCACUGUCAUGAAGUUUCUAUGACAACUUUAUCGAAGAGUGCAUUUCAAAAACUGCCAAUGCAUUUAGAUGAUCCAACUGGUAUUGAAGUAGAUGAACUGUGUCCAGCUCUAUCCGAGGAAAGUAUGGAAGAAGAUGUUCUGUUACAUUUCUCCAAGCGCCCUUUCCAGAAAUUGACUAUGCAUUUAGAUGAUGCUAGUACUAUUGCAGUUAUUGAUGAAUUGCGCCCACCUCAAUCUGAGGAAAUUAUUGAACGUUGUGCUUUAUCACAAAUUGGACAAGUGCAAUCAUUUAAACUAGAUGGGCAUGCUUGGAAAACCACUUUCCAGGUUGCAUUGAUGAUAAGCCGGUUGAGGAUAUAUGACUAUGUCAUGAAAAAAUUCGAAUCUUUAUGUGAUGAUGCUAUUGAGAAAGCUAUAACAGCGACAUGCUCUUUUAGGAGAUAUGAAUCACCCAAUAAGGUUACUGUGCGUUGCAUGAAUAAAGAAAAACCUGAUGAUGGAGAGAGAUAUUCUGAAGUAUCUUUAUUGAAAGAAGAAUACACAUAUUCUCGGAGGAGAAAGCUGGGUGGUAAAAAAUCAGAUUCAUUUUUUGUCUCCCUGACUAUGGGAGAGACUGAUCAUCUGAACCGAGCAUCCAAAAGGUCAAGGAGAUCUUAUACCCUUAAAACUAUUCCUCAGGCUGCUCAAGUUCAAAAUAUGAUUCCUCAUUUAGAGCAGGGUCCAGAAAAUGGCAGUAACAAGCCAUGUGCUAAUGUUAGUAUCCUUGGGGAAAAGGGAUCAUCCAUGCACAAUUGUAGUUGGAGAUCAGAGAAAGUUGCUCGUGCUUUUCAAGAUGAUUCAAGCAGCAAUACACGGAAUACAUCCUUUUUCAUCAAAGACCAGCACAAUCUUGAGAGGAUUACUUGUGCCAAAAAUCUGGAAUUGAAUUCUUUGGAUUUUGAAGCUACUGGCAGCACCACCAAAAUGCCAAAAGCAACUAAGGUCUCAAAACUUAAAAGGAAGCAACUGAUUGAUGAUACGCAAAAUUUGCGACCAGGGAAAGUCCAGAAACUAGCAAAUGGCGUUGCAAAACAAUCACUAUGUAAACAAGUUGAUGUACAUAAGAUCAAGAGAAAUAAGUCGAGGAUAGCAAGACCUUGUCCCCAGUCAAAUGGUUGUGCUAGGUCGUCUAUGAAUGGCUGGGAAUGGCGUGAAUGGGCUUUGACUGCUAGUCCUACAGAAAGGGCUCGUAUCCGGGGUAGUCGCCCGCAUUCUCAAUAUAUUAAUUCUGAGUGUAUUGGUUCUCAUUCAUCGAGUUUUAAGGGACUUUCUGCGAGAACAAACAGGGUUAAGUUGCGUAACCUUCUUGCUGCCGCAGAGGGUGCCGAUCUUCUUAAAGCAACACAGUUGAAGGCAAGGAAAAAACGUUUGCGUUUCCAGCGAAGCAAGAUACAUGACUGGGGUCUUGUUGCGCUGGAACCAAUCGAGGCAGAGGACUUUGUUAUUGAAUAUGUUGGAGAACUUAUUCGCCCUCGUAUAUCUGAUAUACGUGAGCGCCAAUAUGAGAAGAUGGGAAUUGGGAGUAGUUAUCUUUUCAGAUUGGAUGAUGGUUACGUGGUUGAUGCUACAAAGCGCGGAGGGAUUGCUAGAUUUAUAAAUCAUUCUUGUGAGCCUAACUGCUACACGAAGGUCAUUAGCGUUGAGGGGCAGAAAAAGAUUUUCAUAUAUGCUAAGCGGCACAUAUCUGCUGGUGAAGAACUCACUUACAAUUACAAAUUCCCAUUGGAGGAGAAAAAGAUACCUUGCCACUGCGGUUCUAGAAGGUGCCGCGGGUCACUGAACUGAAGGUUGAGGAGUUUAUAACAGGCCUCCAUGAACUGGGUAAUAUAUCUAGAGUUGACAUUUUGUCAUGUUCUUUCCAAGGUUAUUAACUGCGGCAGCAUGCUGCGACUUGACUCCAUGGCAUUAUUGCAGGAUGUCCUUUUCAUGCCAAUCGUUAAUGAUGAUGACAUUUACCCAACGAAUGUGCAUAUUCUUGUAGAUAUCUCUCAGUUGCAGAUGAGUUUCUCCUCUUAAGAACUGAAAGUUAGUUGUUUUUCUUCAUUAAUUUAGGGAUAGUUUGGAAAUCAAUGCCAUGUACAAACAUACCGACAAUUUUCAAAUAUUUCAUAAUAUACAAAAGAUUUGUUAUUUGGUAGGUAUAAAAGAACAUCCUCUCACACAGGGUGGUUGCACACAGUCAUGCUCUCACAGAAGAUUGCAAAAUUGUAUGGUUCGCUGAAACAAUUUACAAUGGGUAAUAUGAAUUUUUAAGAAUGAAUCAAUCCUAUUUGCUAUAUUUGCUUCCUGUGUUGAGAUUGCGAUGAUUGUUCAUAUGUGUCUUACUUGGGAACUUGAAGUUGAUCUUGGCCUAUUCCAGUAUCCCGGGUUAUCUACUAGUUGGGCCUGUCACUCUGGUGUGAAAAUUACGGUUUCCUGCCUUCCAAUUAUCAUACAAGCGUGAUCUUAAGUCUUAACGGUAUGAUUAUUUUGUAAGAGACUCCUUAUUGUCCUAUGGAUUGUGUUCAAUAAUUUGCAUGAGUUCAACAACCUGUGCAUCUCAAAUUUUUGCAUCCAGGAUUUGGGUUUGGGUGCUCAAAAGUGACUGAGAUGAUAAAUGCCCAAUUUGUUACAAUAGAUCACUUGCUCGGUGACAUGAUUGGCACAAUUACAUAGCUUUUAAGUGCAAUUUCCAUUGCAAAUGCUGAUAGUAGCGGUUCGCAAUUUGUACAUGCAAUUUCCAUUCCAAAUGCUGAUAGUAGGGUUUCGCAAUUUGUACGUGGCGUAUUGGUUGCUGAAUUAACUUAAAGUGUGAUGACCAAGUUUUCUUCAACAAUACAUGGAUGGUGCAAGUCCCAAUUAUUUCCUUUUCUUUUUCAAUUUUAUAUUGCGCAGGGAGAAGCAAGUAGUCUGUAGACAUGCGAAAUGCUUAGUGGAUUGUAUGUCGAGGCUUCUGGUAUGUGUCUCCUACUUCUUUAUCUACUACUUAGCGAGUGCCCAAUGAUUUUUAGUGGCAGACCCUAAUGAAUAUCAGAAGCAUCUGGAAAUUUUUUGUUGCUUUCAAUAUUAAUGUUACAAAUAGUCACUUCCUUUAAGGAAAAGGGGAAAGGAUCUUGUCAGAGCACGUCAUGAGAGUUGAAAAGCGCAGAACUGAUUAGGUGGUUAAUUAGGGGGCUACUCUGUUAAGGCGAUCAUGCGAGAGUACGUCAUGAGAGUUGAAAAGCGCAGAACUGGUUAGGUGGUUAAUUAGGGGGCAGCUCCGUUAAGACGAUCUUGUGAGAGUACAUGAGAGUUGAAAAGCGCAGAACUGAUCAGGUGGCUAAUUAGGGGCUGCUCUGUUAAGACAAAUCUUGUCAGAGUAGUCAGGGUACACCAUAAGACUUGAAAAGUGCAGUUUUGAUUAGGUGGUUAAUUAGGGGGCUAGUCGGUUAAGACGGGACUGGCCAAGUGUUAAAGGGUACUCUUCUGUCGCAACUGGUUACGAGUGCUCUUGCUUGCCUUGAGACUUAGAGAUCAUGUGCUGUGGUUGUACUGUGGCACAUUCUAAUGCGCUCUGGGAUGCCAUAUCAUUUUCAUUACUUAUUACCCGACAAAAUAGGAACAGAAGUGUUAGUUAAGUUUUAUAUAGCUAUGAGGUUUCACACAUACGCAUAUGCAACAUCCAAGGAUACAAAUCACAUGUUUCAUACGAGAUAAUGCGCAUUCAAAAAGAGUUACUUUUUGUUUCGGAAGGCUAAUACUUCCUUUUGAUUUCUCAUUUAAACAUGAGGAAUAAUUAUUUCCUUGAAAUUCUUUACAGAUUAUAAUAAAAAAAGCUCCCUCCCUUACCCCAAAAUUGAAAUAUCAUAAUACUAUAUUCUGUCCAGUUUAUUCCUUUUCAUUUCUCAUUUAACCAUUGGGAAUAAUUAUUUCCUUGGAAUUCAUUACAGAUUAUAAUAAAAAUAGCUCCCUCCGUUACCCCAAAAUUGAAAUAUCAUAAUACUAUAUUAAGUCCCGGUCUGCCUUUGUGCAUUUAUAUUGGAUAUUGUAUGUUAAUAUAAGUUUAUCUGUAGAGGUACAUAUUCAUAUACUUAGAUCUAUUAUAUGAAUGCAUGUGUAACUAUAGGUGUAGCGUGUAUGAGUUGACCUUUCUUGAUCGGAAAAAUAUGUGAAAGCACAUUUUUAACAUAUAGUUUAUAGAUUUCAUAAUAUUUUUUAUUAUUUGCAGAUAUCGGUGGAUAUUAAAAUGUUGUUAUAAGUUAUUCUGCAUGUGAGCAUUUGUAAAUGCAUAUUGUAAUGUGUUGUAGUAAAGUCAAAUUUCUAAAUAUAAUUUUUUGGAACAGAAAAGUCAAGUUUACAUUUUACAUUAUUGGUACUGGGCAUACGUAGUUAUGUUGAUUGUGUACAGUCGUUGUAGUUGGUACUUAGUACUACGAAGAAGGAUAUCAUACUCACCACAAAUUAAUUUCUUUUUAUACUAGUCCAACUAUGUAAAUUAGUGAACAUAACAGAAUGGAAACAUCGCUUAAUCUUUUGACUUGUCUUCAUACUGUGGCAAAACAAUUGAUCCUGAAAGGAUAUAAUAUACAUUAUUAGUAUUAGGCAUUUGUACUUGAUUUUGUGCGUCGGUUUUAGUUGGUACUUGGUGCUACAGAUAAGGAUAUAAUUUAGCACAUACUAAAUCUUUUAUCAUAGUCCAACUAAGUAAUUAGCGAACCGAUGUAAGGAUCGCUUAAUUUUCUGACUUGUCUCCAUUUACUCUAGCAAAACAAUUGCAUCUGAAAGAGAUCUGCCAUGUUACAAACAUUGUGAUAAUGCUUAAGUUCAAGAAUGAUGCUGCAACGUGGAUGAUGUUGAUAAUGAUUAAUUACCAUAAACAGGGGCAUCACUGAAUGUUCACUACAAAAGUUGCAUGUUACGAUAACCAGAUGAAACUCAAUUCUCCGUAGUAAAAUUCAAUCAAAUAGAUACUUUUGCAUGAGUUUUUUGGACCGACCUUAGCUCAAAUGGAAGAGUAAAGGAUCGGGCAAAACCAGGAAUCAGCACCUGAGUCCAGAUCCUUAGGUUGUCGGUUCGAACCCGGCAGGUCGGAACUUUGUUUGUUAGUAGUUGUGACUUGGCGUUUGUAUUCUGUUGUUCCACUGCCAUUAUCCUUGGAUGAAUGUAACUUGCUGUUUUCUGAUGCUUGUCUACUGGCCAAGAGAAAGCGGUAAUCAUCUAGAUCUGAUGUCGGGAGGAUAUCGACUUCGAGCACAAUUUGAGGUUUUUGUGAAUGUAUCUUGAGGUCCAGGGUUUUCUUCUUUUUUGUUAUUUUUAUUUUUC